rnacentral:lncRNA from 1 species
CGUCGUCACGUCACUACCCAGCCACCAUGGCAUCGCUGCCUGCUGCCGCCGAACCUAUUCCGCCGCCGAACCGAUUAUCGCGUUCUGCUGCACGCCGUCACGGAGGAAGACCAAAACCCAGGGAGAGGGCCGCGCGAGGAGAGGUCGGCAUUGCCGUUCCCUGAAGCCCGUGUCGCCGUCGAGCCCAGAUGAGAGAGAAGAGACCGAGCCUGAACCCCGACGAGCUGGGAAGAACCAGCACCGCCGCUGUGCCGUCGUCGUGGACACCAUCGCCGCCAUUCGUGCCUUUGAUUCGCGCCGGUGUGACUUCUGUCGCCGUUAGGCUGUCCGCUGACGUCACCGCCGCCAUAACCGCCGUUGCUGGUGACCUCCAGUGGAACCCUGAUCGUCUUGGUAAGCAUUUCGUUCCGAAACCUUUGAAAUCAAUAUUCUGUUAUGUUUGGCUAGAGAUUCUGAGAUCUUGGUUACCAUAGGGUCGAGCUCCGAGGUUUGCAUGUCGAAUUUUUAGGUUGCCGUUGAACCACUGGAGUUUCUCGCCCUUGUCGAAGCUCCCGCCAAGUCAGUUCGGGAUUACGGCUGCUCAGUUCUGCUGUCACCGUAAGUGUACUCUAUUUCGAACCCUCAUUGUUAGUUUUUCGUUAUGGGUUUUAAGAUUUUCGCGAUAUUAAUGUUUUUAGGAAUUAGAAAUCGAGUUUGCAUGUCACGAUUGAGGCUGUUCUGCUAUUAAGAAAGUAAGCAGAGAUGAGGUUUUGGUUGCUGUUGAUUCCGGGCUGAGAGUAAAGAGUUCAGUUGACACAUUUGGAUUAUGGUUUCGCUUACCGAGGUAGGAGUUUUUAUAAAACUAAUUUAUUUUAAAGUGGAAUUGUUAUAAAUUGAUACGACGAGCGAAAUGCUUUUCCGGUGAUUAUGUAAGUCCUAUGCAUUGUUUGGUUUAUCUUAGAUGAAUAUGGUUGUCUGCUUGACUGAGAUAAUGUCUAAUUUUAUUAAAAUUGAGAUUUCUGAUUGGUUUGGCUUGAAAUGAUUUUUGAUAUUUAAAGUUCUGAGUUUUGUUUAUUGGAGACUGAUUUGGUCUUGAAUCCUUUGGAAAGGAGUUGAGGAUUGGUUUGGUUGGGAUCCGAAAGGGUGGCAAAGUCCAAGUUUUAGGGGAGAUGCUGCCGAAUUUUUAUAAAAAUCUAGAUUCUGUUUUAAAAUGUGAUUUAGAAAAAGAUUUGGACUUGAGAGGUUCUACGAAUUGGUUCUUGAUUUAUUAAGAAAUUGGUGUUUUGGGUUUAAACUGUUUAAUAAAAGUUUAUGUUUCCCGAUUGAUUUAAAUAUGAGGGGCCUAUGUUUUGAAGUUUGGUUAAAGAAGUACCUUUGGGGGAGUUUAGCGGAAUUUGAAAGAAAUUGAACUUGAUUAAUUAAUUUCGUGUUGCUCUUAAAGUAUUCUUUAAGUUCGACUUUAAGUUCGACUAAACAAUUCUAAGCCUUUGGGAGAGUUUCUGAUUUAAGAAUGAAAAGAAAUUGGGUUUUUUUUGGACUUCAAUAAUUUUGGUUUUGAAACUGGUUCAGAACUCUUGGCUUACAUGCUUUGGUUUUGAUUUUAAAUCUAAUCUUUAAUUUAUCUCAACUUAAGCAACUAUGAUUCCGAGAAUUUCUGAAGAGUUUAAGAAAUGAGGCAGGUUAUGCUUCCCUAAAGUCUUGAGUCCUUGUCAAGGUUGUUGAUUAAUAACUCUUGAUUUCAAAGUGAUGGAGUGAAUGAUUUGGAAAUGAGUGAUUUUGAGUCUUUCAGAAGAGAUUUUGAAUCUGGCUUGGUUAUGAAGUUGUUUGAAAGUUUUGAAAAGAAAAUUUACUUAAGAAAAGUCGUUCUUGGCAAGAUGUGAACUGAAUACGUUUGUGAUUUGAAAGUUGGCCAAGAAUGAUUUUUGAAAUAAGAUUUUGAGUCUGAUUAACUGUGGAUGUUAUUGAGAAUAUGAUGAGGCCUGGCAAGGAUGGUGGUAUAGUCCCGCUUGCUCAGUGCGUAAACCGUUAUGCAGGGAUGGUUGUUUUGUCCCGCCUGCAGUGAGGAUGGUGGUUUUGUCCCGCUCACAUAUUGAUAAAUUAUUUGGCAAAGACGGUGGUUUAAAUCCCGCUUGCGUGUUCCGGGCAAGGAUGGUGGUUUAGUCCCGCUUGCUUGUGGAACCUACGGAUAAGGAUGGUGGUUGAAUCCCGCUUAUCUGAGUCGGGUCUGGCAACAUAACUGACGCGUGAGCUCAUGGCCAGUAGGACAGGCAUGCAUCAUAUGCAUUUAUAUGACAUUGUUUGGGUGUGCAUAUUAUAAUUGGUUUGCCUAUGUGAAUAGUUAUGUUAAUUGCUAAUUGCUCUACUUGAUAUAACUGCUUGAUUGUGUUUGAACUUUCUUACUUGUGUUUGUGGCUGAGAAUUGGUUGGAUUGUGAUGAAUUGGUUGUUGAUUGAGCUGCUUGGGCCUAGGGCCGUGGUUGAUUAUGAGAUGGGCUGAAUGCUGUGUUUGGUUGUGUUUUCGGUUUAGAAAAGUAUGAAAAAUCAAACUGGUUCAGCAUAGACUUAAUGAACCUAUGCUUGGAACAGUUUGGUCAUUCAUGCUGUCUAGGGAAAAACUUUUUAAAAAAAAAAAGGAGCUUUUGGAUUUCUGAGAAAUUAACAGCUUUCCCUUUUAGAAAGGAUUUCGGAUUUUGAAUAUUAAAUCUUUGGUUUUGAAAAGAAGCAUAAGGCGGUUAUUAAUCACUAUACAUUAAAAACGGUUUUAUUGUUGUAUCUUAUUAUAGCAAUUCUGUAACCCUAUAGUGAGAACCUUUUCGAGGACGAUGUUCUCACUCCCCUACAGGUUUUUCCCUUUUCAGGAUAUGGGCGAUGGAGUUUCAGGAGAGUUAUAUUUAUUUUCUGUUUAUUCGACAUUAUUUUGUAUUAUCUUAGUUUUAUGUUUCCCUCGCCUUUAAUUUUGAAAGUCUUCACAAGAGGGAUAGGAUUUUGAUUAUGUAAUGCUUGUAAUAUUAAUAAUAUGUAGAUAUAUGUAUAUGUAUCUUUUGUAAGUAUUAUGGUUUGUUUUGUAAAUGUGGUUGUAUGUUAUCAGAUAAGAAGCCUCUUGAGCAGUUAUACGGUUUAAUUUUUUUAAACAGGCACGGUUUAAUUUUUUUAAACAGGCUCAUAUUUUAGUAUUAAAUAUUUUAGAAGUCAUCGUAAUACCCGAGCUAUCAGAGUGGCGCAGCCGGAAGCGUGACAUUUUGAUAGUUAGGGUGUUACAUUAUGGUAUCAGAGCGGUCCUUCCUGUAGAGCCUGAGGAAUGGACCGAUUAUGCUUUAUUUGCAUACUCUGAGCGUCUGUCAUGUAGUAGGUCUUGUUCGGAUAACAAGAAUUAGAGCUUUAUGCACAUGACUGUCUAUUGAUUAAUGCUGUUAGCCUGUCAUUGCAUACUUCUUGGUAUUAAGUUUGGCCGGCUUAAUAUUAGUGACUUAUGUAUAUGAAAGCACUAAUGGGUUAUCAUAGACGAUAUGCAAGUUGUAGGAAACGCGAAUCGCGGGUUUUGGGAACGUUAGAAAUUAAUUUCCAAGGUUACAGCUAUGUGUCUGGUUUUCUGCUGAAGUCAUGUGACGUGUUCUUUCAUGGUUUAUCUUGAACUUCUUGUUUGCUAUUUUCUUUUGGGAAGUAGUUUGAUUGUUCCAACCCUCUUCCUCUGUUCAUAUGCUUUCUCCUUUGAUUCCAACUGCAUAUGUCUGCCUAACGUCCUUGGUGUGUUAGCCUUCCUUUGUUUAAACUCUUUUCUUGAUCCAUAUAUUCUUUGGUACAACUUUGGUCUUGUUGAUGCAGUGUAUUCCUUUAAGCUCCUAUUCCGAGUUCUUUUUAAAGAAAUUGUGAUUUAACUUCUCUCUUACUUGACUAUAUCUACAACCAUCAUUGUUAAAGCCUUUAUAAAAUCAUUUUUGAUUCGGUAUAACCUUCUGUAAAUAAAACUUUGAAAUUUCUUUUUUAUGCAGUUUAGAAACCAUUUACUCUUAAUACUUCGCCAAUUCUUUCACUGAUUUAUGAAAAUAUACUUAUUUUAAAAUAUAUAUAUACAACUUGAUUUUCUAACGACCAUAAUACAAUUUUUAUGAAUAUUUUUUCUUGAUUAUGUAUUUAGAUACUUUUCAAAGGAAGAUUUUUGUCUCUUUUUAGUUGAUUUCCGUUUAAUAAACUUCACUUGAUCUAUUUUUUUUAAUUUGAAUUUGGUUUAGCAUAACACGUUAAUUAAGCAUUCUUUACUCUUUUGAAAAUGUUGGAUUUAUAUCUUCCUUUUCAAGGAUGGACCAAUUCCUUUUUGAGCUUUUCACUUCUAUGGAUGUCAUAUUUGAUUCUGUAUUUAAUUACUCUCUUACUUUUGUAAACAUCACCGUUAGUCUUAAUUUUCCUUCUCUUAUGAAUCUCACACUCAUCUGAGUCAGCUUGACUUUGUUUCCAUCUAAUGCACCGUUUGCCUUCUUAAUUGUCAUUCUUUAGUCAAAGGUUCUUUUUUGAGAAUUUUCUAUUGAUUGAGUUGUCUUUUCUUGCGCGUUUUGUAUUCCUUUGGAUCAAUUGAAAACUUGUUUGAUAUUUCAAGUCUAGUGAAUUUUGUUUAAAUUCCCUUGAUUUAAAGAUCCUUUCUCAUAUGGACUGAUUUCCUUUUAAGUGCACCUUAAUUUCCUGAAUAUUCCCGUGAAAGUGGUAAUUUCAAGUAUACUUUCGGAGUCUUGUUUUGAACUAUUUUGAAGAUGUUUUUAGUUCUUUUUGAAGAAGUUUCAAAUUAAAAUUUUCUUGCUUGAUUGUAACUGAAAGCCAUUUAUUAAAUUUUGAUAAGAUUGUUUUGACUUAGCAUACACUUCUUUACGUGAGAUUCUAAAAACCUUAUCGUGCGUACGCGGAACUCUGCUUUUGAUAAAAGUGUGUUUACGGAAAUUUUUACCUCGGAUUUUUCUUUUCUAAAUAAAGUUUGACUUCUUCUAUCUUUGUUACCUUUACACACAUUUGAUUGAAUAUGAACUUUGAGAAAAUUUUGAACAAACUUUUAAUUUUCUUUCGAGUUUUAUGCAUACUUUUGGUUAAGUUGUGCACCUAACUGCCUUUCUAAAUAUUUGAGGAAAUAAUUUGCUUUUAGUCAAGCUAGUAUUCAUUUUGUUUUAAAAACUCUACAUAAUCUAUUUCAACAUGAAAUUUGCAUUAAAGUGAUGCCACAUUCAUACUCUUGUUAUUCUUUUGCAAAAUGUUGGUUACGCCUUUUCUUUGAGAAUGUGAAAUGGGUUUUGAAAAAGUUUCUAUUCUUUAUGAGCAAUGUGUUCGAAGGUACUCUUAAUCCUAACUCAAGUCUUAUAAACUUUAUCUUAAGUUUAAGGCAUUCUUCUUCUAUAAACUUCACACUUCUUUGAUUCAACUUGAUUUGGUUCAAAUUACAACACUACUUUUCUUUUAUUAUUCCCAUCGGAUUUCAUUGAUUCGGGAGUCAUUCUUGAGAUUGCCAAACUAAUUUCCUUUCUGGCACUUUUCACUCCUUUUGCAUCCUUGAUUACUUGUGAUCUCAACAAUCUUUUCAAGUUCUUGUGGAUUUUGUCUUUGUCGCUUGUCCUUUUUCAAGGUCUUGUAUACUUCUGAAUAAGCGCGAGAAUUGCUGUAGUGUCACAUGCGACUUUUAGGUAUAGUAAGCGAUACAUUAGUUCUUUAAGAAGUGGUUUAUGGAUAUAGAAGGUGAAGCGGUAAGUGUGCAACGUUAUAAAGAGCGUGGUAGUUUGUUCCUCGUAAAAAUUUGUGGAUGUUAGGCUUGUGACAGGUUAUGGAUUUCUGAAGUGACUAAUGAAGUUGGGAAGUUGAAGCUCUGAAGUUGGUACACAGUCUAUGCGCAAACAUUAUCCUGUUUGUUCAAGUCAACUUGUUUUCAAACCUUUGCCACCUAGAUACCCCUUUGUUUUUGCAAACACCUAACUUGAACACUUACACCUUCUUGUGCUCCAAGUUUUGGUAAAAUAGUAACCCCUGUAUCAUUUUUGUUUUAACCAUCUCUUAACUUUUGCUUAGACCAUUCUUUACCCUUACAUUUAAGUUUUACGAGUCAUCCGGCAUUUGGAAAAUUAUAUGUAUAUAUAUAUGGCAAGACAUCUACUUUUCUAAAGUAUACAAAAGUAAAGUAUUAUAAACUAUUUUAGUAUGUUGUGUAUUAAGUUAAUUUUUUAGGACGAAAAUUUUCAUAAGUGGGGUAGGAUGUAAGAUCCCGAAUUUUAAAAAGAAAUUAAUAAAUUAUUUAUGAUCCAUUAUAUUUAUUUAAGAUAAUAUUUUUGGAAAUUCUAUAUAUAAAGGUUGAGUAAAUUCUUAUUUAUUAUUUAGAGUCCUUAUAAUUGAAAAAUAAUGAGUAUUUCAUGUCUUAAUUUUAAUAUAUAAAUUUUAACCUUAUUUUAUAAAUAAAGGAGGAUUAAUUUACUUAUCUCUAAUUUUCACUAAAUUGGUAUUUAACCGAAAAUUAUUUAAAGAUUAUUAAUUAGAAGAUAUUUUUUUAAAAGAUGGAUACUUUAUAUUUAAUUUGAUUUUUAUUAUUAUCCUACUUUUUAUUUAUUUCAUAAAAUUACACUACUAUCCCUAUUAUUCACAAAAAAAAUACCUAAACCUAAUUUUCUAUCCUAACCCUAACUAAACUACGCUCACCUCACCCCACACCCACGGUUAGCUCACACAACCCACUACCCAGCUCACCAACACUCAAAAACAGAAAAAAAAGAGAGAGAAACGAAAGAAAGGGAUGAGAGGAGAGGGGAGCUACGGUAAGGGAGAAGGGGGAAAAGAGGGAGAGAGCGACGGAGAGCUGCGCCCUGCCGCCGAUCCGCCACCGAACUCGCCGCCCAGCCGUCGUCACGUCACUACCCAGCCACCAUGGCAUCGCUGCCUGCUGCCGCCGAACCUAUUCCGCCGCCGAACCGAUUAUCGCGUUCUGCUGCACGCCGUCACGGAGGAAGACCAAAACCCAGGGAGAGGGCCGCGCGAGGAGAGGUCGGCGUUGCCGUUCCCUGAAGCCCGUGUCGCCGUCGAGCCCAGAUGAGAGAGGAGAGACCGAGCCUGAACCCCGAC